rnacentral:rRNA from 1 species
UACAGAGGUCCCAAGCGUUGCUCGGAUUCAUUGGGCGUAAAGGGUGCGUAGGCGGCGCGGUAAGUCGGGUGUGAAAUCUUGGAGCUUAACUCCGAAACUGCAUUCGAUACUGCCGUGCUUGAGGACUGGAGAGGAGACUGGAAUUUACGGUGUAGCGGUGAAAUGCGUAGAUAUCGUAAGGAAGACCAGUGGCGAAGGCGGGUCUCUGGACAGUUCCUGACGCUGAGGCACGAAGGCCAGGGGAGCAAACGGG